UCAGCAGCAGUGCCCAUCAUAGAGUAUACUUUGCCACGACACAAGCUCUGAGGAGAGACAAGCCCCCACCACAAGAAACAGCAACUGUGUCCAGGAGUAUGUAAGAGGAGGGAUGAUGAACACAUCUGCACUUUGGAAAGAAUUACAGUGGUGAUGUGAAGACACAGUUGGAAAGCAGCAAAAGUAGGAGGGAAAGAAAUUGGCAUCUCGAAGUAACUUUAGAAGAACAGAAAUCAACUUGGCUGAAUUUCUUGGUUGAAAUCUGGCCCAGCUCUGGUGUGAUCACGUGACUGAGUUCUGGCCAAUGGAGUGGGAGCAGAAAACAAUUCAUGCUACUUUCAGCCAUAAGAACUUCCUUUAGAACCUUCAUUUCUCCUCUUCAAGCUGACCUUGGGAGCGAAGUGUUGAAGAUGGCAGAGCCUCUAUCAUUCUAGAUCUUUGAAGGACUCCAUGGAGCACACUCCUAUUUCCUUCAACCCCCUCUUCUAUCACAUUGUGAUGGGGUAUUACAGGAGUGGGAAAUAAGUCUCUCUUCUGGUGUACAGUGGAAUUGUCUACAGGCUGGAUAACAUGUGAUGUCACAACAGAUUUAAUGAAGAAACAAAUAUAAAAAUCAAGUUCUUUCCAAAUUGAGCCAGACCUUAAAGACAAGUUGUGAAAUCCGUGAAAAUACAAAUCAAUGUUACUUUUUUCACUAUUUUUUGUUCUGGAAAAUAUAGUUGUCUUUCAUAAUAAUGUUAUUUGUGUUAACAUGCUCUUUUAAAGUAAAUGAACAAAUAUUUAUUUUAAAAACCUCUCAGUUGUAAAUCCUAAUAUGGUAAAUAUAAAUAUAAAC
rnacentral:lncRNA from 1 species